UUAAGCGACUAAGCGUACACGGUGGAUGCCCUGGCAGUCAGAGGCGAUGAAGGACGUGCUAAUCUGCGAUAAGCGUCGGUAAGGUGAUAUGAACCGUUAUAACCGGCGAUUUCCGAAUGGGGAAACCCAGUGUGAUUCGUCACACUAUCAUUAACUGAAUCCAUAGGUUAAUGAGGCGAACCGGGGGAACUGAAACAUCUAAGUACCCCGAGGAAAAGAAAUCAACCGAGAUUCCCCCAGUAGCGGCGAGCGAACGGGGAGCAGCCCAGAGCCUGAAUCAGUGUGUGUGUUAGUGGAAGCGUCUGGAAAGGCGCGCGAUACAGGGUGACAGCCCCGUACACAAAAAUGCACAUACUGUGAGCUCGAUGAGUAGGGCGGGACACGUGGUAUCCUGUCUGAAUAUGGGGGGACCAUCCUCCAAGGCUAAAUACUCCUGACUGACCGAUAGUGAACCAGUACCGUGAGGGAAAGGCGAAAAGAACCCCGGCGAGGGGAGUGAAAAAGAACCUGAAACCGUGUACGUACAAGCAGUGGGAGCACAGAGCAAUCUGUGUGACUGCGUACCUUUUGUAUAAUGGGUCAGCGACUUAUAUUCUGUAGCAAGGUUAACCGAAUAGGGGAGCCGAAGGGAAACCGAGUCUUAACUGGGCGUUAAGUUGCAGGGUAUAGACCCGAAACCCGGUGAUCUAGCCAUGGGCAGGUUGAAGGUUGGGUAACACUAACUGGAGGACCGAACCGACUAAUGUUGAAAAAUUAGCGGAUGACUUGUGGCUGGGGGUGAAAGGCCAAUCAAACCGGGAGAUAGCUGGUUCUCCCCGAAAGCUAUUUAGGUAGCGCCUCGUGAAUUCAUCUCCGGGGGUAGAGCACUGUUUCGGCAAGGGGGUCAUCCCGACUUACCAACCCGAUGCAAACUGCGAAUACCGGAGAAUGUUAUCACGGGAGACACACGGCGGGUGCUAACGUCCGUCGUGAAGAGGGAAACAACCCAGACCGCCAGCUAAGGUCCCAAAGUCAUGGUUAAGUGGGAAACGAUGUGGGAAGGCCCAGACAGCCAGGAUGUUGGCUUAGAAGCAGCCAUCAUUUAAAGAAAGCGUAAUAGCUCACUGGUCGAGUCGGCCUGCGCGGAAGAUGUAACGGGGCUAAACCAUGCACCGAAGCUGCGGCAGCGACGCUUAUGCGUUGUUGGGUAGGGGAGCGUUCUGUAAGCCUGUGAAGGUGUGCUGUGAGGCAUGCUGGAGGUAUCAGAAGUGCGAAUGCUGACAUAAGUAACGAUAAAGCGGGUGAAAAGCCCGCUCGCCGGAAGACCAAGGGUUCCUGUCCAACGUUAAUCGGGGCAGGGUGAGUCGACCCCUAAGGCGAGGCCGAAAGGCGUAGUCGAUGGGAAACAGGUUAAUAUUCCUGUACUUGGUGUUACUGCGAAGGGGGGACGGAGAAGGCUAUGUUGGCCGGGCGACGGUUGUCCCGGUUUAAGCGUGUAGGCUGGUUUUCCAGGCAAAUCCGGAAAAUCAAGGCUGAGGCGUGAUGACGAGGCACUACGGUGCUGAAGCAACAAAUGCCCUGCUUCCAGGAAAAGCCUCUAAGCAUCAGGUAACAUCAAAUCGUACCCCAAACCGACACAGGUGGUCAGGUAGAGAAUACCAAGGCGCUUGAGAGAACUCGGGUGAAGGAACUAGGCAAAAUGGUGCCGUAACUUCGGGAGAAGGCACGCUGAUAUGUAGGUGAAGCGACUUGCUCGUGGAGCUGAAAUCAGUCGAAGAUACCAGCUGGCUGCAACUGUUUAUUAAAAACACAGCACUGUGCAAACACGAAAGUGGACGUAUACGGUGUGACGCCUGCCCGGUGCCGGAAGGUUAAUUGAUGGGGUCAGCGCAAGCGAAGCUCUUGAUCGAAGCCCCGGUAAACGGCGGCCGUAACUAUAACGGUCCUAAGGUAGCGAAAUUCCUUGUCGGGUAAGUUCCGACCUGCACGAAUGGCGUAAUGAUGGCCAGGCUGUCUCCACCCGAGACUCAGUGAAAUUGAACUCGCUGUGAAGAUGCAGUGUACCCGCGGCAAGACGGAAAGACCCCGUGAACCUUUACUAUAGCUUGACACUGAACAUUGAGCCUUGAUGUGUAGGAUAGGUGGGAGGCUUUGAAGUGUGGACGCCAGUCUGCAUGGAGCCGACCUUGAAAUACCACCCUUUAAUGUUUGAUGUUCUAACGUGGACCCGUAAUCCGGGUUGCGGACAGUGUCUGGUGGGUAGUUUGACUGGGGCGGUCUCCUCCUAAAGAGUAACGGAGGAGCACGAAGGUUGGCUAAUCCUGGUCGGACAUCAGGAGGUUAGUGCAAUGGCAUAAGCCAGCUUGACUGCGAGCGUGACGGCGCGAGCAGGUGCGAAAGCAGGUCAUAGUGAUCCGGUGGUUCUGAAUGGAAGGGCCAUCGCUCAACGGAUAAAAGGUACUCCGGGGAUAACAGGCUGAUACCGCCCAAGAGUUCAUAUCGACGGCGGUGUUUGGCACCUCGAUGUCGGCUCAUCACAUCCUGGGGCUGAAGUAGGUCCCAAGGGUAUGGCUGUUCGCCAUUUAAAGUGGUACGCGAGCUGGGUUUAGAACGUCGUGAGACAGUUCGGUCCCUAUCUGCCGUGGGCGCUGGAGAAUUGAGGGGGGCUGCUCCUAGUACGAGAGGACCGGAGUGGACGCAUCACUGGUGUUCGGGUUGUCAUGCCAAUGGCACUGCCCGGUAGCUAAAUGCGGAAGAGAUAAGUGCUGAAAGCAUCUAAGCACGAAACUUGCCCCGAGAUGAGUUCUCCCUGACUCCUUGAGAGUCCUGAAGGAACGUUGAAGACGACGACGUUGAUAGGCCGGGUGUGUAAGCGCAGCGAUGCGUUGAGCUAACCGGUACUAAUGAACCGUGAGGCUUAACCU
rnacentral:rRNA from 1 species